GAUCGGCCUGUCUCCUAUCAGCUAGUUGGUGGGGUAGGGGCCUACCAAGGCGAUGACGGGUAGCUGGUCUUAGAGGAUGGUCAGCCACAUUGGAACUGCGACACGGUCCAGACUCCUACGGGAGGCAGCAGUGGGGAAUCAUGGUCAAUGGGCGAAAGCCUGAACCUGCGACGCCGCGUGAGUGAUGAAGGUCGUAAGAUCGUAAAACUCUUUUCAGGGAUCUUAACGCACAGCUGUCAACAACAGCUGUGUCUGACUCUCCCUGGAAGAAGCCCCAGCCAACUACGUGCCAGCAGCUGCGGUAAUACGUAGGGGGCGAGCGUUAUUCGGAAUUACUGGGUGUAAAGGGUAUGUAGGCGGCCCUUCAAGUCGCGUGUCAAAGUCCAGUGCUCAACGCUGGGUGUGCGCGCGAUACUGACGGGCUUGAGGGCUGGAGAGGUGAGCGGAAUUCCCGGUGUAGUGGUAAAAUACGUAGAGAUCGGGAGGAACACCAGCGGCGCAGGCGGCUCACUAGACAGUUUCUGACGCUAAGAUACGAAAGCGUGGGGAGCAAACAGGAUUAGAUACCCUGGUAGUCCACGCCCUAAA
rnacentral:rRNA from 1 species